rnacentral:rRNA from 1 species
CCUACGGGGGGCUGCAGUAGGGAAUAUUGGUCAAUGGAUGCAAGUCUGAACCAGCCAUGCCGCGUGCAGGAAGAAGGCCUUCUGGGUUGUAAACUGCUUUUGUCAGGGGAUAAAAUGAGCGUGCGCGCUUAAUUGAAGGUACCUGGCGAAUAAGCCACGGCUAACUACGUGCCAGCAGCCGCGGUAAUACGUAGGUGGCAAGCGUUGUCCGGAUUUAUUGGGUUUAAAGGGUGCGUAGGCGGUUAUAUAAGUCAGUGCUGAAAUAUCCCAGCUUA